UUUCAUAGCUUUCCACAUUUUUCUUGAAAUAUAUCUCAGCACUUCCUAUGGUGAAUCUGCGAAUCAUAUCAGUCUUGUAUCUUCAACAAUUACUCUUUAUUCUUGCUCUCUUGUCUUUGAGGUUUGAAGAAGUGAUGCAUGGAUUCAAGCAAGAGGGGUAUAUUGUGCACGGCUGCUAGCAAGAGAGAUACCCGUCAAAGUCUGACUGGAACUUUCAUCAUUUCCUCUGUCCGGUUCUUGGAUCGAAUUAUUAUGACUACUAUUAUCAGUAAAGACACGAAUAGAAGACUUGGUUCAUCAUGAAACUGCAGGCC